UACGUAGGGUGCGAGCGUUGUCCGGAAUUACUGGGCGUAAAGAGCUCGUAGGUGGUUUGUCGCGUUGUUCGUGAAAACUCACAGCUCAACUGUGGGCGUGCGGGCGAUACGGGCAGACUGGAGUACGUGCAGGGGAGACUGGAAUUCCUGGUGUAGCGGUGGAAUGCGCAGAUAUCAGGAGGAACACCGGUGGCGAAGGCGGGUCUCUGGGCCGAAACUGACGCUGAGGAGCGAAAGCGUGGGGGAGCAAACAGG
rnacentral:rRNA from 1 species